rnacentral:tRNA from 1 species
GGGGAAUUGGCUCAGGUGGUAGAGCGCUCGCUUAGCAUGCGCGAGGUGGUGGGAUCAAUACCCACAUUCUCCA